GGUUAUGGCUCAGCUCUAGAGCACGUGCUCAGCAAGCAUGGGGUCCUGGGUUCAAUCCCCAGUACCUCCA
rnacentral:tRNA from 1 species